UGUGGAGACACUGGUAUGGCAUACAGGUGAGAUAUAAGGGUACAUCUGCACUGAACGUGACCGACUCCGGAGCUAUUUCUGUUGUCAAGAUUUGCUCCGAUGGAAUAUGGGUAUAAAUAUCCCUCCAAUCUGAGACCGCCAUGGUGACUUGCAAGCAACUCACUGUACUUAGGCACUGGACUACCUGAAUUUCUAAUUCAGUGACGGAAGGCUGCUGGGUGUAGUCAAGUACUUGACUUGUCGGUGCGUGUGUCAAGAUGGGAUUGACCACUCCAGUUUAGGAGCUGUGUAUAGUCGUGUUUCAAUUUAGCAAAACCUUGGCUAGGGUAGUCUUUGUGAGGAGUCACAGGACUGUUUGAGUUGAGCACGAUUCGGAUGAUCUAAUCAGGGUUGACAGUUUAACCCUGAGUCAUCCUAA
rnacentral:lncRNA from 1 species